rnacentral:rRNA from 1 species
GGGGUUAGGUCCCACGCCGUAAACGAUGAGUGGCUAAAUGGUUAGAGGGUUUCCGCCCUUUAGUGCUGCAGCAAACGCAUUAAGCACUCCGCCUGGGGAGUACGGUCGCAAGACUGAAACUCAAAGGAAUUGACGGGGGCCCGCACAAGCGGUGGAGCAUGUGGUUUAAUUCGAAGCAACGCGAAGAACCUUACCAGGUCUUGACAUCCUCUGACAACCCUAGAGAUAGGGCUUCCCCUUCGGGGGCAGAGUGACAGGUGGUGCAUGGUUGUCGUCAGCUCGUGUCGUGAGAUGUUGGGUUAAGUCCCGCAACGAGCGCAACCCUUGAUCUUAGUUGCCAGCAUUCAGUUGGGCACUCUAAGGUGACUGCCGGUGACAAACCGGAGGAAGGUGGGGAUGACGUCAAAUCAUCAUGCCCCUUAUGACCUGGGCUACACACGUGCUACAAUGGGCAGAACAAAGGGCAGCGAAGCCGCGAGGCUAAGCCAAUCCCACAAAUCUGUUCUCAGUUCGGAUCGCAGUCUGCAACUCGACUGCGUGAAGCUGGAAUCGCUAGUAAUCGCGGAUCAGCAUGCCGCGGUGAAUACGUUC